UGGUGCUCAAACCACACUAAA
rnacentral:rRNA from 1 species